rnacentral:rRNA from 1 species
UACAGAGGUCCCAAGCGUUGUUCGGAUUCACUGGGCGUAAAGGGUGCGUAGGCGGUCGGGUAAGUCUGAUGUGAAAUCUCACAGCUUAACUGUGAAACUGCAUUGGAUACUAUUCGGCUUGAGAGUUGGAGGGGGACUGGAAUUCUUGGUGUAGCAGGUGAAAUGCGUAGAUAUCAAGAGGAACACCAGUGGCGAAGGCGAGUCCCUGGACAACUUCUGACGUGAGGCACGAAAGCUAGGGGAGCAAACAGG